CGCAGGUGCAGCUGCAGGAGCUUGAGAGUGUGUUCGAAGAGACUCACUACCCCGAUUGGCUGACCAGAAGGGAGCUUGGAAGACGCAUAGAUGUGACUGAAAACAGAGUGCAUGCUUGGUUUAAGAACAGGCGGGCCAAGUACAGGAGGCAACAGAGGGCUUUAACUGAGAGCAACGCACCUCCUGCACAGCCUGAGCCCGUUUUCAUCAUCAUAGCAAAUAACCCGUAACGUGCCGUCCUUCUUCGGGAGCCAGACGGGAGAGGGGUUCUUCUAAUGUCUUCACCUGAGCAGCCCGGCUGCCCGCACUGCCCUUAUCUCCUCAGCACCCACGUUGUCUAUGAAGAGCUCGGUGACCCAUGUUUCUGUCCCUGUGUGCUAACUCACGUUACCAAUA